CUGCUGCCUUCCGUAGGAGUCUGGUCCGUGUCUCAGUACCAGUGUGGGGGGACCUUCCUCUCAGAACCCCUACGCAUCGUCGCCUUGGUGGGCCGUUACCCCGCCAACAAGCUAAUGCGACGCAUGACCAUCCGUAGCCGGAAUCGCUUCCUUUAAACCCACAGAGAUGCCUCCAUGGGUUGUUACGCGGUAUUAGACGGAAUUUCUUCCGCUUAUCCCCCUGCUACGGGCAGGUUUCAUACGUGUUACUCACCCGUGCGCCGGUCGCCGGG
rnacentral:rRNA from 1 species